rnacentral:miRNA from 1 species
UACCCUUUUUCAGUUAUUAUAUUAAUUUAAAAAAAUUAAUAUAAUAACUGAAAAAGGGUA